AUGUACACAAGAACCUGUUUAAGCUAACUUGAAAAAAUCUAGUUUCUUAUAUGCGUGGUUUUACUGUGUUACACACUCGAACCCCUAUUAACGGACACCUCUCUUAAGCGGUUAAGCGGACACAUACCUCCCGACCUCCGGUCGCAAUGAUUUCUUUAUUAAAAUAUUAUUGUCAUCACUCCUACUCAGCGGAAGCGUACACUUAAUUAAUUUAACGUCCCAAUGAGCCGAAUAUCCUCUCUUAUAAGCGCGGACAAAAGCAACUGAUGAGUGUAAAUAUGUUAAAUUAAAUUUUCAUAAAAAUCAAUAUUAAAACUAAUUU